AGUGAACGCUGGCGGUAGGCCUAACACAUGCAAGUCGAACGGCAGCACAGUAAGAGCUUGCUCUUACGGGUGGCGGGUGGCGGACGGGUGAGGAAUACAUCGGAAUCUACUUUUUCGUGGGGGAUAACGUAGGGAAACUUACGCUAAUACCGCAUACGCCCUACGGGUGAAAGCAGGGGAUCUUCGGACCUUGCGCGAUUGAAUGAGCCGAUGUCGGAUUAGCUAGUUGGCGGGGUAAAGGCCCACCAAGGCGACGAUCCGUAGCUGGUCUGAGAGGAUGAUCAGCCACACUGGAACUGAGACACGGUCCAGACUCCUACGGGAGGCAGCAGUGGGGAAUAUUGGACAAUGGGCGGAAGCCUGAUCCAGCCAUACCGCGUGGGUGAAGAAGGCCUUCGGGUUGUAAAGCCCUUUUGUUGGGAAAGAAAAGCAGCAGGUUAAUACCCCGCUGUUCUGACGGUACCCAAAGAAUAAGCACCGGCUAACUUCGUG
rnacentral:rRNA from 1 species